rnacentral:rRNA from 1 species
CAGUAGCCACGGGAAUACAGAGGGUGCGAGCGUUAAUCGGAUUUACUGGGCGUAAAGCGUGCGUAGGCGGCUUUUUAAGUCGGAUGUGAAAUCCCUGAGCUUAACUUAGGAAUUGCAUUCGAUACUGGGAAGCUAGAGUAUGGGAGAGGAUGGUAGAAUUCCAGGUGUAGCGGUGAAAUGCGUAGAGAUCUGGAGGAAUACCGAUGGCGAAGGCAGCCAUCUGGACUAAUACUGACGCUGAGGUACGAAAGCAUGGGGAGCAAACAGGAUUAGAUACCCGCGUAGUCCCUGUCUCUUAUAC